UGAGUCCUACGGGGCGCAGCAGUGGGGAAUUUUGGACAAUGGGCGCAAGCCUGAUCCAGCUAUUCCGCGUGUGGGAUGAAGGCCCUCGGGUUGUAAACCACUUUUGUAGAGAACGAAAAGACACCUUCGAAUAAAGGGUGUUGCUGACGGUACUCUAAGAAUAAGCACCGGCUAACUACGUGCCAGCAGCCGCGGUAAUACGUAGGGUGCGAGCGUUAAUAGGAAUUACUGGGCGUAAAGGGAGCGCAGGGGGUUGAGUAAGACAGAUGUGAAAUCCCCGAGACU
rnacentral:rRNA from 1 species